GUAUGCCAAGGCUUCUUUGGUCUUGGUGGAUUGUGGGUUUCCUGUGUUGCCUACCUAAGCAAUGGUAUUGCUCUGGUUGAUCCUAGUCCCUUUUCUUCUAGUGUCAUGCUUAUGACAUUGGAUGAACCAUGAAGCGGUCUCUUUGAUCCACCUUGUCAACCAUUGUGUUGAUUUUGUGGCUCAUUGAGCGUCGCUUGGUAUCCUGGAUACAGAACAUGAUUUGAGCAUAUGGGGUCUCAUGGGGGGCUUUGUUUCCUUCUCAUUCAGCAUGUGUGCUUCUCUUUGAAUGAUUGCCUCGCCCGCAAAGGCAUGUUCCCGCGGGGUGGUAUGACAAAGAGAAUUACUCUUCCUGUUUGAUAUGGGCAUGGUGUCUCAUGUCAUCCUUGUUUUGCUCUCAUUUAGCGUUCGCGCUACUCUUCGAAUGACGGCCUUGCUCUUCUGGGCUUGUACCAGCGUGGGAGGCCAUGUCAAAGAGGAAUGC
rnacentral:misc_RNA from 1 species